GUUGCUUAUAACAGACCUGAAGUGUCACCAGAGUUAAACAGCUUCAUUCUCGAAAUCUGCCGUUUUUUUCCAUCUAAAAAUGACAUCUGCCUCUUGAUCCAGCCCCUCCAGCAAUUCCUGUUUUCCUUCUCUGCCUCCCAGGAUCCAUUGGCAAUCCCAAGAUGCUGGCGGAGGUCCAGAAGUGCCUGACCAAGAUCCAGGAGAUCCUGCUGCAGAUGAAGAAGUUCUGGGAGACGACCGGCAUGGCGCUGGACAACCUCAAGCAGAGGACCUUCACCGGAGAGGACAUGCUGGACUUCCUGGAGGACUGCGAGAUGGACUUCCUGUCCAGCCUGGAUAAGGCCGAGCCGGCCUCGGUGUGGCAGGGAUAAAUCCUGUUGCUCUCAACUGCGCUUCACUGAACGGACUCAAACCCCCUCUCGCACCCAAGAUGGCAACUGGCAACCCACUGAAGCUA
rnacentral:lncRNA from 1 species